CUGGGCAUUGUGAACAUGACCAAAUUUAAUUUCAGGGACAUUCCGGUGUUGAAGUGGCGCCGGACUGCUUUGUAGUCGACUGCAAUGAUUUCAUGGACUUGUGCAUGGAAGUCACCGUAUCGGAUGACACUACUGAUGCUGCUAGCACAUUGUCCACGUCGACGGACACUGUUUGUGAAGAAACAACUGUAGUCGAGUUCGACCAUGCAUACUGCAGCACUGUCUCUCCAAUCACUAUGAAGUCUGCAUGCACUCAAGUUAACAUGACAGAAAUAGCUGGAAGCUGGUAUGCUAAAAAUGAUGAUCCGGAUUUGCCAGGAGUGACAGCAUUCCUACCUGUGGCUUCGUCUCCCCCUCUUGCUUCUACCAGUUACAGCUGUGUGAUUGCUCAAGAGGUAG